rnacentral:lncRNA from 1 species
AUGGAUGAUACAAGAGCUUCAUUUGAUAUGGAAAAGUAUCCCAAUACUGAGGUCAGGAAAACCAAGUACGAACUCUGGAAGAAUGGCAAGACAAGUGGGUGAACGGCAAUAUUGCUUUUCAUCAAGAACAAGGACAUCAGCUAUUGAAGACGCAUUUGGAUACUUUUCUUAAAGGUGAGAGUAGACUGAAGGUAUUUUUUCCUCCUUGUUGAGAUGAAAUGGUUUGCAGACCAAGGACACAAUGUAGUUGGUGUAUAAAUCAGUGCACUUGGGAUACAAGAAUUUUUUACAGAGCAGAAUCUUUCUUACUCAGAAGAACCAAUUAGCAAAGUUCCUGAAGCCAAAGUAUUUAAGAGUUCUUCAGAGAACAUUUCAUUGUACUGUUGCAGCAUUUAUUAUCUUCCCCAAACACAUAUCGACAAAUUUGACAGAAUUUGGGAUAGAGGAGCACUGGCUGCCAUUAAUCUAGGAGAUUUCAAACACUAUGCAGAUACAAUGUUGUCCCUACUGGGAAAAGGGUUUCAGUACCUCGAGUGUGUUCUUUCUUAUGACCCAACUAAACAUGCAGGCCCACUAGCUUAUGUUCCACAUGCUGAAAUUGAAAGGUUGUUCAGUACAAUAUGCAAUAUUCAUUGUCUUGAGAUGAUUGAUGGUUUUGAAGAACAACAUGAAAGUUGGCAAAUUGACUACAUUUUUGAAAAGUUAUAUCUACUUACAGAAAAGUAA